GUAGUCUCGCACAGAUGCAUAUCAAUAAGCGGAGGAAAAGAAACUAACAAGGAUUCCCCUAGUAACGGCGAGUGAAGCGGGAAGAGCUCAAAUUUGAAAUCUUAAAGGGUUUCCCUUUACGAAUUGUAGUUUAAAGAAGUGUUUUCUGUUGAGGUUUUGGUAAAAGUUCUUUGGAAUAGGACAUCAUAGAGGGUGAGAAUCCCGUAUUUGACCUUUACUUUCAACUUUGUGAUACACUUUCAAAGAGUCGGAUUGUUUGGGAAUGCAGUCCAAAAUGGGUGGUAAAUUUCAUCUAAAGCUAAAUAUUGGCGAGAGACCGAUAGCGAACAAGUACCGUGAGGGAAAGAUGAAAAGAACUUUGAAAAGAGAGUUAAACAGUACGUGAAAUUGUCUAAAAGGGAAGCGUUUGACACCAGUGUUGUUUUUCUGAAAAUCAAUUAAAGAACUGUUUAUGCUAAGCUUGUUUAGACUUUAUCAGCUAUACUGCUUAGUUUUGAGCUUUUCUUUAAUGCACUUUUCAGUUAACAAGUCAACAUCAAUUUCUUUUGCUGUAAAAAAGCUUGAGGAAGGUGGCUUGAGAUUCGUCUUAAGUGUUUAUAGCCUCUUGCCUAUGCAGUCGGAGAGAUUGAGGUCCUGCAGCGUAGAUCCUUCGGGGCUAAAUGCAUUUGUGCUAAGUUAUAGCAUUUUAUAGACAACUUGUUGACUAUGAUUUGUCUUGUAGCUUACUCGCUUAUGUUAUUUUACCUACGCUUAGGAUGUUGACGCAUGAGAUAUACGC
rnacentral:rRNA from 1 species